rnacentral:rRNA from 1 species
CGCGUAGGCGGACUUUCAAGUCGGAUGUGAAAACUCCGGGCUCAACUCGGAGCCUGCAUCCGAUACUGUUGGUCUUGAGUAUAUGAGAGGAAAGCGGAAUUCCAGGUGUAGCGGUGGAAUGCGUAGAUAUCGGAAGGAACAUCAAUGGCGAAGGCAACCACCUGGGCCUGUACUGACACUGAGACACGAAAGCGUGGGGAUCAAACA